AGCUUUCAAAGGAGAUAUCAGAGCUCAAAAAAGUGGAAGGAGGUAAAAAUGCCGUGGUAGCUGGCUAUGUGCAUGAAAUAGUGAACCCUUCAAGAAAACUGGAAUCUUUAUCUACCAUGAAGGC
rnacentral:SRP_RNA from 1 species